rnacentral:tRNA from 1 species
ACUAUUUUGACAGAUAAGUGUAUUAAAUUUAGAAUUUAAAAAUAUAGAGUAUUUUCUAUAAAUAGUA